rnacentral:lncRNA from 1 species
AGAAACGCUAAAGGUCGAUAAGUCGCCUUUCUCCCGUAAAAGAAUCGAGUUCGAUCCCCAUUGAUCUCACACAGCUUGAUCAGGAGCACGUUCACAAUCAUUAUCCCAGUAACCAACGAGCUCGAUCUCCAAAUAACCCGAUCUUCACAUAGCUCGAUCUUUGCAUCAAGUUCGAUCUCCAACGAGCUCUGGCAGCUCGAGGAGCCGACAACGCAUCUUUCUCCCUAAAAACGACAUGCCUAUAAAAUAGGUUAAUUGUCCACAUUCCGUAAGAGACAAUGUAUCCACUACAUCACUAAAAGGUCCCAGCCACGAAAUUAUCUCCUGUAAAGGAAAACGAUAAAUCCACGCAUAUCAUGCAUAAAUAUUUUGAGAUCGCAUGUUGUCUAAUGGUAUCUCCAAAUGAAAACAAGACAACAACUGGCAGGAAGCUCGAGAUAAUCCACAAUGGCGUGCUAAGAGUUGUGCGCGAAUCAGAUCAAUAGUUCAUAGCCUGAAUGCACGGCCAUCUCAUCAACUACGCAAAGAACACAUGAUCAAACAUCUGACACCAUUUUGUCUUCGCUAGCUUGCAGUCACCGAGACAAGAACACGCCCACCUCGGUAAAUAAUUCUCCUUAACCUAUUUGUGCAUAUCAAUAU